ensembl:lncRNA AFDN-DT AFDN divergent transcript
GCCGCCGCCCCGCGCGGCGCCGCCGCACCUCCGGGCCGCUCCACUAGAAAACGCCUCUUCUCUCAGACACAUCGUUAUCUGCCAAUUCUUCGCAGACGUAGAGAACGGACUGCAGAGUUAAUAAACGUCGAGGGGAAGCUUUGAUGCGCCCCAUUUGGCCCUGAGAGAUGCCACGUGAUCGUCAUUUUAAAUCCUUUCCUGGGCUUCCCGAUGGACUCGAGUUUUUACUAUGUGAGCAUCCCGGUGCCUGCACAGCAAGGACUCUCAUUGGGUUCCACACGUGCUGCGCAGAUCCCUGACGCAGCGUUCACUGAACCUCAACUGCAGGAGCUUCAUUCCUGAGGACGCUGUUACCAAGAAUGACUUGCCUCUUGAAGAAUGAGUUUGCAAAGCCGGCAGUUAGAUUGCUGAUGUCCAAAGUAAGUAUGUGUAGCAUCACUAAAGAGAAAAUUCAGGAUUCCUGGAAAACAGUUAUGGGCUCUCUGCAGUGUUAUUUUUGUAAUAAAAAACAUAUAGCAUAUGUGAAAUACCUACUGGGUGAUGCAGGACACAUAGAAGGCUCGAAAUUAAUGUGAAUCAUUCUCGUUUUUCUGACUGUCAUUAAAAGUCCCCAUUUGUAUUAUGUAUGAGUGGUAUAUCAAUAUCUAAACUACACUUUAUUGUAGGUCCCAACCAACAUUAGUUUAUUGACAAAUGUUUAAGAGCAGCCAAAAAUUCAUAGAAUACCUAUGAUUCUUAAAUCAUGAACACUCCCAUAACUGGUAUAUGUUUAGGACAUGAAAAUUUCCAGGCUGACAAAUAAUUUCGCUGUCAUCGGUCAAGACUCCAGGAUGAUAUUCUGAGCCAUAUGUUAAUUUUGAUAACCACCUAGAACAAUAAAAGGUAAACAUGCUACCAUCUUCUAUUCUCAUUGCACCACUGGAUUCUGGUACAUCUAAAAAUUGUACUUAAAUGAUAUCCAAGAAAUGCUGUAAAAAACAAAAUAGGGCCGGGCGCAGUGGCUCACACCUGUAAUCCCAGCAUUUUGGGAGGCCAAGGCGGGCAGAUCACGAGGUCAGGAGAUCAAGACCAUCCUGGCUAACACGGUGAAACCCCGUCUCUACUAAAAAUACAAAAAAAAAAAAAAUUAGCCGGGCAUGGUUGUGGGUGCCUGUAGUUCCAGCUACUCAGGAGGCUGAGGCAGGAGAAUGACGUGAACCCGGGAGGCGGAGGUUGCAGUGAGCUGAGACCGCGCCACUGCACUCCAGCCUGGGCGACAGAGCAAGACUCUGUCUCAAAAUAAAUAAAUAAAUAAAAGAAUGGGCUUUUCUGUUAUUAAUUCCAUUUUAUACAUGGUGAGACUGAAAUGCAAGAUAAAGGACUGGACUGAAGCUAAACAAACCUGCACUGGGCGAGGUUGAAAAAGACCUUUUUAAUCUAUAAGUCGGUUUUUGAAAAUUCAAGUUUCUACUUUAUAAUUUUAGUUUUCCUUUUAAACGUAUAUUAUUGUUAGUUGCACUGUUCAAAAAGUUUUACAGCUUCUAUUUCAAUCAGCACUGGUAUACUAAUAUUUUUAAGUAUCUCCUAUCUAAAACCAAAAUCUACGUAAAACCUAAAAGUACCAGGUAAUAGAGGACAACAGAGCAAGACUGUCUCUUAAAAAAAGAAGUAUCACAUAAUA